rnacentral:rRNA from 1 species
AUGUGGGAAAGAAUGUCUAGAUCAAUUGGUUCUCAGAUGGAAAGCCACCCUACCCUCGAGGGGAUGAAGCAAUUGAUUACACUCAGCUAUGACUACCUACCUCAUCAUCUCAAGGCUUGCAUGUUGUAUCUGAGCAUCUUCCCGGAGGAUUAUGUGAUUGCGAAGGAUAGGCUGCUAUAUAGAUGGAUUGCUGAAGGUUUGGUCACUGAGAAGAGGGGGUUGACUUUGUUUGAGGUUGCAGAAGAAUACUUGAACGAGCUGAUAAGUAGGAAUAUGAUUCAGCUAGACAAGUUCACGUUCAGGGAAUGGGGAUAUGUGUCUAGAGAAGUGGAGGUAGUGGGGUGUCGAGUGCAUGACAUGAUCCUUGAAGUAAUGGUGUCCAAAUCCCAGGAGUCUAACUUUGUUAGCUUGGUAGGGCGGCAAUACGGAGGAAUGCCACAUGAAUAUGGUAAGGUUCGCCGCCUCUCCAUUCAUGAUAACGAGUAA